CUGAUUGAUCCUGCCAGUAACAUGAUGCGUGUUUCAGCGAUACGUCUAGGCGUGUCUAAGUAGAAACCUUAAAAAAAUCAAACCGCGAAUAACUCAUCAAGUCAACUCUGGUUACUAAGGCCAUAUAUGCUAAAUGGACAAUUGGAGUAGUUCUACAGCUGAUACGUG
rnacentral:ncRNA from 1 species